rnacentral:rRNA from 1 species
AUGGAGGAGGAUAGCAACGCGCUGAUUCUUCCAUGCAAGAGGAAGAACAAAGCACAAGGGAUAGGCAAGGAUGGCAAGAAAAGCAAGAGCAAGGAAGACCCUAAGAUGAGCAAGACUCAGCUAAAAAAAUUGCAGAAAUUGGAGGAGGAAAAGCAAAAGAAGGCACUACAAGCAAAAAGCAUCGAAUUUUUGCAGAAGCACAUGAUUGCUGAUGAUGUAUUUUCACUGCUGGAUACUACGUGCUCUGUUGGACAAGCUGCGACUAUGAAAGAAAAAUUUAGGCGUGCUGUGCAGUUCUCCAAGCAUGGUUUAGAUGUUCCUGAAGAACUUUCGCUAUUCAAGAAAAACUGUGAUCGGAAAGGAGUUCCUGGAAACAGUGAAGCUAUGCCAGAAGUUUCCCCAGUGAAGUUUAUUAAGGCAGCAAAACUUGAUCAUCCUGGCAGUGAACGAAAGAAUCAUGAGAAAGAUUCGAUGAAACCUAUGAUGGGUCUUGGCGUGAGCAUUCUGAAACAAAAAACUGAAGGGACUAAUGACGAUGCUGGCAUUUACCGAAAAAGGCUUUCGCCCCGCUUUAUAGAUAAAGCAAACCGCCCGAAUCAAACAUCCAACAGAGUUCACACACACACACACACUCAAAGUCACAGCCGCACAAACGCACGGCAUCAAGGGGUUAAUGCUGAGGGCACAGCUCAACAAGCCAUAAGAACAAAAGGACACACACAAAGACCGCCACGGACGAGUCCAGCCUAA